AUACGUAGGGGGCGAGCGUUGUCCGGAAUGAUUGGGCGUAAAGGGCGCGUAGGCGGCGCGGUAAGUCUGGAGUGAAAGUCCUGCUUUCAAGGUGGGAAUUGCUUUGGAUACUGACGCGCUUGAGUGCAGGAGAGGUUAUCGGAAUUCCCGGUGUAGCGGUGAAAUGCGUAGAGAUCGGGAGGAACACCAGUGGCGAAGGCGGGUAACUGGACUGCAACUGACGCUGAGUCGCGAAAGUGUGGGGAGCCAACAGGAUUAGAUACCCUGGUAGUCCACACUGUAAACGAUUAAUGCUAGGUGUAAGAGGUAUCGACCCCUUUUGUGCCGGAGUCAACACAAUAAGCAUUCCGCCUGGGGAGUACGGCCGCAAGGUUGAAACUCAAAUGAAUUGACGGGG
rnacentral:rRNA from 1 species